UACGUAGGGGGCUAGCGUUGUCCGGAAUCAUUGGGCGUAAAGAGCGUGUAGGCGGCCCGGUAAGUCCGCUGUGAAAGUCGGGGGCUCAACCCUCGAAUGCCGGUGGAUACUGUCGGGCUAGAGUGCGGAAGAGGCGAGUGGAAUUCCUGGUGUAGCGGUGAAAUGCGCAGAUAUCAGGAAGAACACCCGUGGCGACGGCGGCUCUCUGGAACGCAACUGACGCUGAGACGCGAAAGCGUGGGGAGCAAACAGG
rnacentral:rRNA from 1 species